rnacentral:lncRNA from 1 species
CUAGGUCGACCCAGAGGUUUUCCAGAAAGCUUCCUGGGUCUCUUAACAGUAGGAGCAGCGGCUGCAGCGCCGUAAGAUUUUGGAGGCCGUCCACGUCGCUUUCCGAGGGGAGGCAGAGCCCCAUUAUUUGUGACACCGCCACCACCAACAGCAUUAGGCAAGUUUUCCGUAUCAAAAGCAGCAGCAAUAGGCACAUCUGUAACACCCACAGUAGCAGCAGGAGGUCCACUAGACCUUGGUGGCCGUCCCCUUCGUUUAGGUGUUGUUAUGGCUCCCGGGACACCACCAGCUGGAACAUUGGUCACAUUGGCACCAACAGAAGGAAUAUUUGCGACAUUGGCACCGCCAUUGGCAGCAGCAACAGCCGCAUUCUUCCUGGGCCGACCUCGUCGUCCAGGAACAGAAUUUUUCCUGGGCCGACCUCGUCGUCCAGAACCCAUAGCUGAUCCAGGAGCAGCAUUAACUGUCACACUCUUAGGAGGACGACCAGGUCUCCUCUUACUACCACCGCUCUGGUCCGGUAAUUUGGGUUCCACCGGUUUAACCACAGUGGAACCAUCCUUACGGGGACGACCUGGUCGUCUCUUUGCCGUACUCUCUUCAGCUCCCGGUGCCGGAGCCAGCCCAACAGCAGGAUUCUGAACUCCAACAGGCCCAUCAGCUAGCCCAAGAGAAACAAACACGGAUUCAGCGCCAAGGCCAGCAUAAUUAUGGCCUUCAGGAGUAGCAUAGGCCUGCGUCUGUGGCUGGGUCUGGAACUGUUGCUGAGGUUGGAGUAAUGGGUCGGGCUGGAACUGUUGUUGAGGUAAGUACUGGGGCUGUUGUUGGAUGAGUUGGAAUUGAGGUUGAAACUGGGCUGCUUGCUGCUGUUGGGCUUGAAGUUGGGCUUGAAGCUGGGCUUGAAGCUGAGCUUGGAAUUGGUCUUGA